UGGGGAAUAUUGGACAAUGGGCGAAAGCCUGAUCCAGCAAUGCCGCGUGAGUGAUGAAGGCCCUAGGGUUGUAAAGCUCUUUUACCCGGGAUGAUAAUGACAGUACCGGGAGAAUAAGCUCCGGCUAACUCCGUGCCAGCAGCCGCGGUAAUACGGAGGGAGCUAGCGUUGUUCGGAAUUACUGGGCGUAAAGCGCGCGUAGGCGGCUUUUUAAGUCAGAGGUGAAAGCCCGGGGCUCAACCCCGGAAUUGCCUUUGAAACUGGAAAGCUAGAAUCUUGGAGAGGUCAGUGGAAUUCCGAGUGUAGAGGUGAAAUUCGUAGAUAUUCGGAAGAACACCAGUGGCGAAGGCGACUGACUGGACAAGUAUUGACGCUGAGGUGCGAAAGCGUGGGGAGCAAACA
rnacentral:rRNA from 4 species